AAUAAAAACAAGCGGAAACUCCACGGAGCUCAUUUCCAUUCCAACCGAGAGAGAGAGAGCUCGAAGCAGUACCCAUCCCCAUCCUUUCUCUGAAAUUAACGGUUUUUAAAUGUUUGUCCAGCGGCUAUUCUCCUGAGGAUGCUUCCCCUCUGGACUGUCUCCUACAAUACACACAAGGGUUACACCGACCACCGGGGAAGUGAACUCGCGGGACACCGUACAGACGCUGUGUCACGAUGAGCGAUGGGACUAAUUCCUCAAGAGGCAGAAAAGCAGCAGAUGCACAUAACCUGGGGACAGGGUGACGGUCCUCCGGUCGCAUUAAAUCUACAAAAUGAGAUGAAGGUGAUCGACGCCUGUGAUGCUGGGUGACUGUCUUCAGUCGCGCUGUCGCAUUGAAUCCACAGAAUCUUCCGCGGAGAUGGGGGCGAUCGUUUGCUGUGACGCCGUUUCCACCAGAGGUCUUAACUGACCAAAGAUGGCCCAAACCUUCCUUGGAUGUCUGAGCGACUGAAGGAGAACAGCGACAACUUCUGUCUUUUUAAUGUUCGUCGCAACUAAAUGCAUCUCAAAUCUCCCUUUUUCAGGUUGGAUGGGAAAGGGAACGUCUGGAUCUUGGAGUCCUUUUUUGAAGGCCAGCCACUGAAGUACAGAAGGUUGGGAGGACUCUGCUGGCUGUGCUUUCCAUCCUCUCCGUCCAGGCGCCGGUGAUUAUUACCUGGUUGAACAACCAGUGGCUGCGCUGCAUUGAUUUCUCUACACGGAGGAGUUCUGCGCCGGUCCCCGCUGAUCUAGAUGGGACCGGCCAAAGACAGAGUGGUGAUCGGGAGGAUCUUCCACGUAGUCCAGGAUGACCCGUAUGUAGAUUUUGGUGGGAAGUUCCACUGCGUUUGCGUUUGACGAAGAGAAGCUACAGCGGGGCAGCAAAGUCAGUCUGCGGCUGCAGGAUCUGGAGCUCGCUGCCGGUUUCCUGGGAGCCAAAACCGACACCACGCUGCUGGAGUCCCGGGGCCCUCUGGAGGGAAGGGAAGUCCAGGAGAACCAGGACUGAGCGGACUGUCGCAGCCUGCUGAAGUUUAAAUCUCAGGUUUCCUAAAGGGAGUCUGGCGGGGACUCGGACUGUGGAUGUCAAAACAUGACUUUAAGUCUUGUUAGAUAAAUAAAUACAUGCAGAAAUAAAUGAAUAAAUAGUGGAGGAGUGAACCUGGACAUUUCAGUCUGUUGCUGCUU